rnacentral:rRNA from 1 species
UACGAAGGGGGCUAGCGUUGCUCGGAAUGACUGGGCGUAAAGGGCGCGUAGGCGGAUCCCGACGUCGGGCGUGAAAUCCCCGGGCUCAACCCUGGGCGGUCGCCCGAGACUCGGGGUCUGGAGUGGGGGAGAGGGUCGCGGAAUUCCCAGUGUAGAGGUGAAAUUCGUAGAUAUUGGGAAGAACACCGGUGGCGAAGGCGGCGACCUGGCCCUCGACUGACGCUGAGGCGCGAAAGCGUGGGGAGCAAACAGG